rnacentral:rRNA from 1 species
CGAACGUUGGCGGCGUGCUUAACACAUGCACGUCGAACGGAAAGGCCCUGCUUUUGUGGGGUGCUCGAGUGGCGAACGGGUGAGUAACACGUGAGUAACCUGCCCUUGACUUUGGGAUAACUUCAGGAAACUGGGGCUAAUACCGGAUAGGAGCUCCUGCUGCAUGGUGGGGGUUGGAAAGUUUCGGCGGUUGGGGAUGGACUCGCGGCUUAUCAGCUUGUUGGUGGGGUAGUGGCUUACCAAGGCUUUGACGGGUAGCCGGCCUGAGAGGGUGACCGGCCACAUUGGGACUGAGAUACGGCCCAGACUCCUACGGGAGGCAGCAGUGGGGAAUAUUGCACAAUGGGCGGAAGCCUGAUGCAGCAACGCCGCGUGCGGGAUGACGGCCUUCGGGUUGUAAACCGCUUUCGCCUGUGACGAAGCGUGAGUGACGGUAAUGGGUAAAGAAGCACCGGCUAACUACGUG